GAUGCCACAUCUGGUCCAGCUGAUGGAAGGUCUUGAAGUUCUCUGACUGGCCUCGACUGAAGAUGGUCGUCUGACUGGAUUUAAGGUUCAGAUGCUCAGUAACAAACUCCACCAAUGAGCCAACAGGGAAGCUUUAGGUUUAUUAAAUGUUGCUAUGAAGGUGUCGCUGUUUUUCUUUGUGAAUGCAAUGUGCUCCAACUGAAACUUGAAUUAGAACUUAGAAGUAAAUCCUUCCAUCUGAAAGGAUUUAGUUGCAUUAAUAACCUCAUAACAUUCUAAUUUUUAUUCCAGUCUUGGUUGGAAAUAGAAUCUCUGUAUUGAUUCAGGUAAAAACUGAACUUCACAGCAUGUUUGAAGCAAAACAACCAGAUGAAAACUGUGAUGGUGUUGGAUUGUCACCGUAAUGUUGCAGCUCAAAGCAGCUUUUCUAUCUCAGUUCAUUCUGACAUUCAGCUAUGAAUCAACACAGCAGAUGGUGAUCCAUGCUGUGGAAGUCUCACAUCUCCUGAUUUAAUGGAGCUGCUUUGCACUUUUUACACUGUUUAUUCACCAACACUUUAUUUAAUAAAAGUCCCAUCUAGUUUUUAUGAGGAAUGUGAUGUUUUAAUUUCUCUGUGAAUAACUGCAGUCUAAUGUAACAGCUGGAGUUGUAACAUCUGUCCUGAUAUUGAUCAUGAAGUAUUGAUCAGAAUACUUAUGGUUAGCAGUCAUCCCUGAAGUUUUACAUUAAAAUCUUUACUUGUGUUGUGAACUUUGGUAAGAAGCAGAAAACUUUAGCAUUGCCAUGGAUACAUGAGUGUUAAAUUCUGUCCAUGUUUCCAUUUUGGGAAAUGCAGUCCAGCAGAUGAGUUUGUUUUUACUGCCAGCUACCAUUCAGUCUGAGAUAUUACGAAUAAAUAAAUGUGCAUAAUGUUGAAAUGAACAGAUUUUAUUUUUAUUUAUUCCUACAGGUGCUGCAGGUAAGGUUCCAGAACGUGGAGGAAUUUAGUCUCACAAUCACAGACAAUAAAUAUUAUCUGAACGUCAGGUUAUUGUUGUUUAUCAGCAUAAUACAAAAAGAUUCAUGCUAGACAUAUUCUAUCAUAUAUCAUUAUAAUAUUUAGUCAGACCCUACAGUAUUGAGAUUAAGAAAUCAAAUAUUCUAUAAAAUGUAAAUACACUGAACUCAUUUGGAUAUAUUUAAGUGGACUCUACAAUAUUAUUUGACACAAAUCUAUCUAAAUCAAAAUUUUAAUCAUUUUUACUCCAUUUACUGAACUGAUUUAAAUAUUAAAAUCACUCCUUUCUAAUCCUCUGCUGUACGUUCAAACCUGAGGCCUUAAAUAGAGAAACACACAAGUAUCUGAAGGAACUUCUGCAGAGUCCUGGUUCCAGAACAUGAUGAUAGAAUUAUAGACAAACUUUAACAAAAGCUGCCUGAGAGUUUACAGGUUUUUAUGUUAAAUUUCUUCAGUAAUUUAAUGAGAGUUAUCAGCAAAAAUCAAGUGUUCAUUUGAUGAACUUCAUUUCCUAAAACAUCCAGAAUUGGAGCUCAUAUCUUUGGCAGCUGUAAAGUUUCUGCUCCUUCAAAGUUCACAACACAAUGAAUGAAUUCCUAAAACACUCUCAAUGCUGGAGAGCGUUUGAUGCUGAAGCAGUGACCAGUUUUUCUGUUUCUUCUCUGGAGAUGCACAAUGAGGGACGUCUGCAGAGACUGAGAAAGAGUCUCACCACAUCCUGACAUGAGGAAAAAGACUUUAUUGAAGACUACAAUGAGAAAAACUAUCAGACAGCAGACGGCUGCAUUCAAGUCUGUAGCUGCUGAAUUCAUGGAUGAAUCAUCUGGCACUAGAGAGGAAGACCAUCAAACAUCCACGUCAGCUGAUGGAGGUCCAAGAGUCUCACCAAACAAACAACCUACAGAGUGAAGACCUCGAAUCUGAUUGGACGGCCUCCUAUUCAGCCACGUGUGAACAAAUGCCUCUAAGCUGAUUUGUUUUCUAAAAUAAAUCUAGUUUGAGUCCUAA